UGGGGAAUAUUGGACAAUGGGCGCAAGCCUGAUCCAGCCAUGCCGCGUGAGUGAUGAAGGCCCUAGGGUUGUAAAGCUCUUUUGUGCGGGAAGAUAAUGACUGUACCGCAAGAAUAAGCCCCGGCUAACUUCGUGCCAGCAGCCGCGGUAAUACGAAGGGGGCUAGCGUUGCUCGGAAUCACUGGGCGUAAAGGGUGCGUAGGCGGGUCUUUAAGUCAGGGGUGAAAUCCUGGAGCUCAACUCCAGAACUGCCUUUGAUACUGAGGAUCUUGAGUUCGGGAGAGGUGAGUGGACCUGCGAGUGUAGAGGUGAAAUUCGUAGAUAUUCGCAAGAACACCAGUGGCGAAGGCGGCUCACUGGCCCGAUACUGACGCUGAGGCACGAAAGCGUGGGGAGCAAACA
rnacentral:rRNA from 1 species